rnacentral:rRNA from 1 species
AUGAACUCAUCUCCCGGCUCUACCCACAGCAAGAUCACAAGCAAUGGAACCACAAUCAAUCACGGGAAAAGCACAGACAACAUGAUGCAAAACAUGCAUGAUAUGCGAUGCAUAUGCGUGCUCCGGAAGAAAAAAGGAUGA